GGAGGUUCCGCCUCUUAGUGCCGAAGCUAACGCAUUAAGUGUUCCGCCUGGGGAGUACGACCGCAAGUUGAAACUCAAAGGAAUUGACGGGGACCCGCACAAGCGUGGAGCAUGUGGUUUAAUUCGAAGCAACGCRGAGAACCUUACCAGGUCUUGACAUCCUUUGAAGCUUUUAGAGAUAGAAGUGUUCUCUUCGGAGACAAAGUGACAGGUGGUGCAUGGUCGUCGUCAGCUCGUGUCGUGAGAUGUUGGGUUAAGUCCCGCAACGAGCGCAACCCUUAUUGUUAGUUGCCAGCAUUCAGAUGGGCACUCUAGCGAGACUGCCGGUGACAAACCGGAGGAAGGCGGGGACGACGUCAGAUCAUCAUGCCCCUUAUGACCUGGGCUACACACGUGCUACAAUGGCGUAUACAACGAGUUGCCAACCCGCGAGUGGAGCUAAUCUCUUAAAGUACGUCUCAGUUCGGAUUGUAGUCUGCAACUCGACUACAUGAAGUCGGAAUCGCUAGUAAUCGCGGAUCAGCACGCCGCGGUGAAUACGUUCCCGGGUCUUGUACACACCGCCCGUCACACCAUGGGAGUUUGUAAUGCCCAAAGCCGGUGGCCUAACCUUUUAGGAAGGAGCCGUCUAAGGCAGGACAGAUGACUGGGGUGAAGUCGUAACAAGGUAGCCGUAGAGAACCUGCGGCUGGAUCACCUCCUUUCUAAGGAUAAUCGGAAAGCGACAGGGACUUAAGUGUCAAUUUGUUUGUUUCAAAGUUUUGUUUAGUUUUGAGUGUGAUACUUUAAUAGGUAUCAUGGUCUCAAACUGAUCCUAUGGGGAAUUAGCUCAGCUGGGAGAGCACCUGCUUUGCAAGCACGGGGGUCAGCGGUUCGAUCCCGCUAUUCUCCAUAGCUAGUCGAAAGGCUAGCAUGUUGUACACUUGAAAACUGAAUAGUAACAAAUUCUUUUAAAAGCAAUCGUAAGAUUCCCCUAAAAUGAACCGGGRAACA
rnacentral:rRNA from 1 species